rnacentral:lncRNA from 1 species
CUUCGAUUUCACGCUGCAAAGCUUCGCAAUCCUCCAUGGUAUGCCCAUGAUCUUGGUGAAAUUCACAAUACUUGUUCCUAUCUCUCGUGUCAGGGGGCGACUUCAUUCUUGAAAACUUUAAUUAUUUCAUAUCUUUGAUUCGCAUUAAGAUGUUUGCCUUGGAGGUGUUUAAUCGGGUGAGGGGCCCUGGUGGACUUUCAUUCUUGCGUUUUUCCCGAGGAUACUCUGGCCAGGAGACGGGAUCAUGUUGCUUCCUGUUCUCGGCCUUUUCAUGGAGAGGACCAGGUCUCCUGGGAUUCAGUGUUUCCUCCAUAUUUAUGUACUUUUCAGCUUGGGUGAGAAGCUCGGUCAGUGUCUGUGACGGGGUCUUUGAUAAGGACAUCUUGAAAGCAUCACAUCUUAUGGCGUAAGUGAGGGCGGAGACAACCGCUGUGAUGUGAAGGUCGAGUAUUUGACGUCUUUCUUUGUUAAACCUCGUCAUAAAUCCUCGUAGGGUUUUACUUGGUCCCUGGAGAAGUUGCAUGAGAGAGGUCGCAGUCUUUCUGAUUCGCUUGCUACUUACAAAGAAGGCUGAGAACUUAUCAGCCAAAUCUGAGAAUGAGGCUAUGGAGUUGGGCUCCAAUGUCGAGAACCAAUCCCUAGCAGCAUUAGUCAACGUUUGCAGGAAGGCUUUGCACAUAACCUGAUCCGGUGCAACUUGCAAAUUCAUGACGUCAGUGUAUAUUUUAAGAUGGUUGAUUGGGUCGAUCAUCCCAUCAUACUUUUUGAUUCGAGGAUAUUUGAAUUUGUC